rnacentral:lncRNA from 1 species
GCUUUGCUGCCGGCUGAGCUUUUGUCUUCGGAGGGGCGUUUGGGUUGUCGUCUCGCGCUGCUGGUUGGCCGACUUUCCUUCCGACUCCGCACUACCAGAUAUUACAGCGAGCGGGCCACUCACGGCCCUUCCUCCUGGAGGAUCCAGAGGCCUUCCAGAAGCAGAAGGCAGCUCUACUGCUCUACAAAGGAGUGGGAUCCUUUGAGCCAUGAAGCAUAUGCUGAACCUCUAUCUCUUAGGUGUGGUGCUGACCCUGCUCUCCAUCUUCGUUAGACUGAUGGAGUCCCUGGGGGGCUUACUGGAGAGCCCAUCUCCUGGGAGCUCCUGGACCACCAGAGGUCAACUAGCCAACACAGAGUCCCCAGGGGCCUUCCAGACCAUCCAUCCGGAGGGGUGUGAUAAGACCUCCCUCCACCGGCUGUAACCUUGGAACACUGGCCUAAAUACGUCCAGCUGUACCAGUUCCUGGGUAGGCAAGCUCAGCAUCAGUGUUAUCAGAGAACUAACUGUCACUAGGCCCUUGAAGGGCCUCUCCACCUGCAUACUCCUUGCUCUGGAAAAAGCCUGUUUAAUACACAGAUAUGAGUGGGUCGCCUGUGGCUGUGGAAUGGAGUGAUCUCACUCUUCUCCCCAGUCCACCAUAUGCUUUGCUGUCCUUGGCAGCAUGGCUCUGUCUUCUCUUAGAUGGGGACUUGUGCUGCAACUUCCGCUGUUGGGAGAUCGUGUUAUUUUCAACCCUACUUUCUAAGCAUCUGCCAAGAGUUCCUUUGUGCUUGGGUGUCUUAUGGUCAGUUUAUUUGGUGUUAAGUUUCUCUUCCAUGAGAGCUCCUCUGUGUGCGGAUAACAGUUGAAGAGGUUUGUGGGUUGGCUAUAGGAAGGGGAAGGUGGAGUAUUCUAUGUCCCAUUCUCAUUGUUUUACAUUUUUAAGUCACUCCUCCAACAUAGCAUGUAUGUGUGUGUGUAUUGGUCUGAAGAGGGCAGUGGGAUGACAGCAUCUGCUCAGGACAUGGGCAUUUUGGCCACCGUGUGGCUUAAAUAAAUUUUUCUAAUGAAAUAAAGUUGAAUGUAUAUUUCU